rnacentral:rRNA from 1 species
UACGGAGGGUGCGAGCGUUGUUCGGAAUCACUGGGCGUAAAGGGCGUGUAGGCGGUCUGUUAAGUCUGAUGUGAAAGCCCGGGGCUCACCCCCCGGAAGUGCAUUGGAUACUGGCGGACUCGAGUCUCGGAGAGGAGGGUGGAAUUCCUGGUGUGAGCGGUGGAAAUGCGUAGAUAUCAGGAGGAACACCGGUGGCGAAGGCGGCCCUCUGGACGAUGACUGACGCUGAGACGCGAAAGCGUGGGGAGCAAACAGG